rnacentral:rRNA from 1 species
AUUGAACGCUAGCGGCAUGCCUUACACAUGCAAGUCGAACGGCAGCGGGGGAGCUUGCUCCCGCCGGCGAGUGGCGAACGGGUGAGUAAUACAUCGGAACGUACCCAGUAGCGGGGGAUAGCCCGGCGAAAGCCGGAUUAAUACCGCAUACGCCCUACGGGGGAAAGGGGGGGAUCGCAAGACCUCCUACUAUUGGAGCGGCCGAUGGCUGAUUAGCUAGUUGGGUGGGUAAAGGCCUACCAAGGCGAUGAUCCGUAGCUGGUCUGAGAGGACGACCAGCCACACUGGGACUGAGACACGGCCCAGACUCCUACGGGAGGCAGCAGUGGGGAAUUUUGGACAAUGGGCGAAAGCCUGAUCCAGCAAUGCCGCGUGUGCGAAGAAGGCCUUCGGGUUGUAAAGCACUUUUGUCGGGGAAGAAAUCGUUUGGGUUAAUACCCCGAGCAGUUGACGGUACCUGAAGAAUAAGCACCGGCUAACUACGAGCCAGCAGCCGCCGUAA